AUGGAGCUCCAGCCGCCAGCCGACGACGUCGUGGUCCAGCUGAGCGCCGCCGCCGUCGCGGCCGUCGACGAGAGGAGCUCGAUGAACCACGACGGCGACAACGCCGGCGCUGGGGACGGCGGCCGCGCGCGCCGCACCUUCAGCCAGUACUACAAGAUGGAGCACCGCAAGGCUCCGGAUUUCAAGUGGUGGCAGAUCGGGGUGCUGAGCUACCAGUCGCUGGGCAUCAUCUACGGCGACCUCGGGACGUCGCCACUGUACGUGUUCUCCACCGUGAUGCUGCCGGACCCGGGGGAGGAGGACUUCCUCGGCAUCCUCAGCCUCAUCCUCUGGACGCUCACCCUCAUCGGCCUCCUCAAGUACACCUUCAUCGUGCUCCAUGCAGACGACCAUGGAGAAGGUGGUACCUUUGCCCUGUACUCGCUCCUGCGUCAGCAUGUGAAUUUCAGCGGAAGCAUGCCGAUGCCAGUCACACGGCUGGCAUCCGACAUUAAUCUCAAGUUUCACAGCAAAAAGAAGAAACUGCCGUCUAAGAUGCGCGAGUUCUUGGAAAGAAGCACAACAGCACAGUCAGUCAUCACCUACGUCGUGUUGAUCGCGACUUCCAUGGUGAUGGGUGAUGGUGCCCUCACUCCAGCCAUCUCAGUUCUGUCGGCCGUUCAAGGAAUCCAAUCAAGAUCUCCUAAAAUAACACAAGAACUAUGGGACAAGCAAAGUCAGCCUCGCUUUCUCUCCUAUUAUCUCCUAUGGUUUGCGUUUGUCUCGCUCAUUGGACUGUACAAUAUUAUCAAGUAUUACCCACCAGUUCUCAAAGCCGUGUCGCCACUCCACAUAAUAACUUUCUUCGCAAGGAACAAAAGAAAAGCCUGGGAGCAGCUUGGAGCAAUUGUUCUAUGCAUAACGGGUGCCGAAGCUAUGUUUGCUGACCUGGGUCACUUCAAUAAGUCAUCGAUUCAGAUGGGAUUUUCAGCAGUAGUUUAUCCAUCAAUGAUCCUUGCGUAUUCUGGCCAGGCAGCAUUUUUGAUCAAGAACCCUUCUAAGCUCAGGACGACGUUCUACAGUAGCACCCCAGAGCCCUUGUUUUGGCCCAUGUUUAUCAUAGCUACUUUAUCUGCUAUUGUUGCAAGCCAGGCAUUAAUAUCAGCCAGUUUCUCCAUCAUUCGACAAUCAAUUGCAUUAGGUUGUUUUCCAAGAGUUACGAUGAAGCAUACCUCAGAAAAAUAUGAAGGCCAAGUAUACUCUCCAGAGGUCAACUACUUGAUGAUCACGUGCAUCCUGAUAACUUAUGGGUUUAAAGGGGGGCCACAGAUCGGGCAAGCCUUUGGCACAGUAGUGAUAUGGGUUAUGCUGUUUACAACAACCCUCAUGACAGUUGUCAUGGUUGUCGUCUGGCAAACCAACAUCAUAGCAGUCGGCCUGUUUUUCGCUCUCUUCUUUUGCAUUGAAGGGAUUUAUAUGACCUCACUUCUAAACAAGGUCUUACAAGGUGGCUGGGUUCCAUUUGCAAAUACUGCAUUUUUCCUUGCAAUUACAAUGUCUUGGACUUAUGGGAGACGCAAGAAGAAUGAAUAUGAUGCAGCCAAUUUGGUGGGCAAGCAGGAGUUCAUUAAAAUAGUAACAGGGAGCAGCCAGGUACCUGGGAUAUGCAUCUUUUGCACAGACUUGAUGAAUGGCAUUCCACCUAUUGUUCGCCACUAUGUUAAGCACACGGGUUCCAUCCGUGAAGUGAUGGUAUUUGUCACUGUGAGGAUUCUUCCAGUGAGAUCUGUCCUUCCAGAAGAGCGCUUCCUCGUAGACAAACUAGAUCAUGUUGGUGUUUAUAGGUGCAUACUCCAAUAUGGCUAUAUGGAUAAUCACAACAUGGAUGAUGAUGACUUCGUUGUAUUAGUUGUUGCAUCCCUCAAGCAAAUAGCUGACAAUGAUGAGAUCUUACUGUUGGAUUCAGCUUUCACAAAUGGAACAAGCUUUGUGAUUGGAAGGACUAUUCUAAAGAUGAGCAUCACACGGAACUGCUUCAAGCGCUUCGUUAUUAAUAACCUUUACAGGUUCCUGCAAAAGAACUUCAGGUCCAACAUGUCUAGUCUGAAAAUAGCUCCUGGCAAAACCUUGCAGGUUGGAAUGCACUAUGAGAUCUGA
rnacentral:rRNA from 1 species